rnacentral:rRNA from 1 species
UGGGGAAUAUUGCACAAUGGAGGGAACUCUGAUGCAGCGACGCCGCGUGAGUGAUGAAGGAAUUCGUUUCGUAAAACUCUGUUCUAUGGGAAGAAAAGGACUGUACCAUAGGAGAAAGCUCCGGCUAAAUACGUGCCAGCAGCCGCGGUAAUACGUAUGGAGCGAGCGUUGUCCGGAAUUAUUGGGCGUAAAGUGUGCGCUGGCGGCUUUACAAGUUGGAUGUGAAAUAUUGUGGCUCAACCACAAACGUGCAUCCAAAACUGCAAAGCUUGAGUUAAGGAGAGGUAAGUGGAAUUCCUGGUGUAGCGGUGGAAUGCGUAGAUAUCAGGAGGAAUACCGGUGGCGAAGGCGACUUACUGGACUUAAACUGACGCUCAGGCACGAAAGCGUGGGGAGCAAACAGG